rnacentral:rRNA from 1 species
GUCAAAUAUAUUAAAGUUUAUGAUGGAUACCUAGGCAUUUAGAGUCGAUGAAGGGCGUGGAUACCAACGAAAUGCUUCGGUUAGUUGGAAACAAACUUUGAUCCGAAGAUUCCCGAAUAGGAAAACCUAUAUAACUACUUAAUAAAUUCAUAAUUAAGUAAGAGACAACCCGCUGAAUUGAAACAUCUUAGUAAGUGGAGGAAAAGAAAGCAAACGCGAUUUCCUUAGUAGCGGCGAGCGAAACGGAAAUAGUCUAAUCAUAAAAAAAAAUUAUAAGUAUUAAACGAAGCAGCUGAAUCCUGCACCAUAGAUGGUGAAAGUCCAGUAGUUAAAAAUAUAAAAAAUGAUUAUAAAGUAGCAUGGAACACGUGAAAUUCCGUGUGAAUAUACGAGGACCACCUCGUAAGACUAAAUACUCCUAAAUGACCGAUAGUGAAACAGUACCGUGAGGGAAAGGUGAAAAAGAACCCCUGUAGGGGAGUGAAAAAGAACAUGAAAUCGUAAACUGACAAUCAGUGGGAGCUAAAGUGACCGCGUGCCUGUUGAAGAAUGAGCCGGCGACUUAUAGGUAGUGGCUUGGUUAAAAUAACUUUUUGGAGCCAAAGCGAAAGCAAGUCUGAUAAGGGCAUAUGUCACUAUUUAUAGACCCGAACCCGAGUGAUCUAACCAUGGCCAGGAUGAAUCUUGGGUAACACCAAGUGGAAGACCGAACCGACUGAUGUUGAAAAAUCAGCGGAUGAGCUGUGGUUAGGGGUGAAAUUCCAGUCGAACUCGGAGCUAGCUGGAUCUCCUCGAAAUGUGUUGAGGCGCAGCGGUUGAUGAUGGGCUAUUUAGGGGUAAAGCACUGUUUCGGUGCGGGCUGCGAAAGCGGUACCAAAUCGUGGCAAACUAAGAAUACUAAAUACGCUUUCCAUCAACCAGUAAGACAGUGGGGGAUAAGCUUCAUUGUCAAAAGGGAAACAGCCCAGAUCACCAGUUAAGGCCCCAAAGUGAUGGCUAAGUGAUAAAGGAAGUAAAAAGGCAAAGACAACCAGAAGGUUUGCUUAGAAGCAGCCAUCCUUGAAAGAGUGCGUAAUAGCUCACUGGUAGAGCCUUUUUGCGCCGAAAAUGAACGGGGCUAAGUUAUCCGCCGAAACUGUGGGUUACAGUUUUAACUGUUACGGUAGAGGAGCGUUCCGUUAUAGGGUGAAGUUAAAAUGUGAAUUUUAAUGGACGAAACGGAAGUGAGAAUGUCGGCUUGAGUAACGAAAACAUUGGUGAGAAUCCAAUGCCCCGAAAACCUAAGGGUUCCUUCACAAGGUUCGUCCAUGGAGGGUUAGUCAGGACCUAAGGCGAGAUCGAAAGGUGUAGUCGAUGGAAAACAGGUUAAUAUUCCUGUACUUGAUUUAAUUUGGUAAAGAGGGACGGAGAAGGCGGUAACUAGCUAGAUAUUGGUAUUCUAGUAGAAGUAUUGAAUUCUUAGAAGAAUGAAAAAAAACUUUCUUUAGAAAACAUACGAUCUAACUGUGAUUCUAUUAGAGUCUUGGUUUAGUUUUAGUCAUACUUCCAAGAAAAGCUUUUAUUAUCGUUAAAUUAAAUCAACCUGUACCCUAAACUGACACAAGUAGGUAGGUAGAGAAUACUAAGGGGCGCGAGAUAACUCUCUCUAAGGAACUCGGCAAAAUGGCCCCGUAACUUCGGGAGAAGGGGUGCCUACAAUAUGUAGGCCGCAGUGACCAGGCCCAGGCGACUGUUUAUCAAAAACACAGGUCUCCGCAAAGUCGUAAGACAAUGUAUGGGGGCUGACGUCUGCCCAGUGCCGGAAGGUAAAAGAAGUUGGUUAUUCUUUAUAAAAAGAAAAAGCUGACGACUGAAGCCCCGGUGAACGGCGGCUGUAACUCUGACAGUCCUAAGGUAGCGAAAUUCCUUGUCGAGUAAGUUUCGACCCGCACGAAAGACGUAACGAUCUGGGCACUGUCUCGGAGAGAGACUCGGUGAAAUAGAAAUGUCUGUGAAGAUGCGGACUACUUAUACCAGGACAGAAAGACCCUAUGAAGCUUGACUGUAAUUUGGAAUUGGGUUCGGGCUUUUUUUGCGCAGUCUAGGUGGGAGGCGUUGAUAUUAAGUUUUCGGACUUAAUGGAGCCAUCAGUGAGAGACCACUCUAAAAGAGCUAGAAUUCUAAUAGGACUCCUUGAAUCAGGAUCCUUGACAGUUUCAGAUGGACAGUUUGACUGGGGCGGUGACCUCCCAAAAGGUAACGGAGGUGUGCAAAGGUUCCCUCAAGCUGGACGGAAAUCAGCUGUAGAGUGCAAAGGUAUAAGGGAGCUUAACUGCAAGACCAACAAGUCGAGCAGAGGCGAAAGCCGGCCUUAGUGAUCCGACGGUUCCGAGUGGAAGGGCCGUCGCUCAACGGAUAAAAGUUACUCUAGGGAUAACAGGCUGAUCUCCCCCAAGAGUUCACAUCGACGGGGAGGUUUGGCACCUCGAUGUCGUUUCAUCGCAACCUGGGGCUGGAGUAGGUCCCAAGGGUUGGGCUGUUCGCCCAUAAAAGCGGUACGUGAGAUGGGUUCAGAACGUCGCGAGACAGUUCGGUCCAUAUCCGGUAUAAGCGUAAGAGCAUUGAGAGGAUCUCAACAUUGUACGAGAGGACCCGAAGGGACGUACCGAUGGUGUACCAGUUCUUAUGCCAAUAGGAAACGCUGGGUAGCUAUGUACGGAGCGGAUAAUCGCUGAAAGCAUUUAAGUGAGAAGCCCACCUCAAGAUGAAUGCUCUCUAUUAGAUCGCGGCAAGACAAGCCGAUAGAUUGGCAUCAAGUGUAAGAUUAGUAAUAAUUUCAGCUGAGAUGUACAAAGGAUCGAUUGAUUUUGAC